rnacentral:rRNA from 1 species
UAUGGUAUGUGCCAGCCGCCGCGGUAAAACGUAGGUCACAAGCGUUGUCCGGAAUUACUGGGUGUCAAGGGAGCGCAGGCGGGAAGACAAGUUGGAAGUGAAAUCCAUGGGCUCAACCCAUGAACUGCUUUCAAAACUGUUUUUCUUGAGUAGUGCAGAGGUAGGCGGAAUUCCCGGUGUAGCGGUGGAAUGCGUAGAUAUCGGGAGGAACACCAGUGGCGAAGGCGGCCUACUGGGCACCAACUGACGCUGAGGCUCGAAAGUGUGGGUAGCAAACAGG